GGGCGCUUAACUCAGUGGUAGAGUGCCACCUUCACACGGUGGAAGUCAGAGGUUCAAAUCCUCUAGCGCCCACCA
rnacentral:tRNA from 1 species